rnacentral:rRNA from 1 species
UACAUGGGGUGCAAACGUUGCUCGGAAUUAUUGGGCGUAAAGCGCGCGUAGGCGGUUACUUAAGUCGGAUGUGAAAGCCCUCGGCUUAACUGAGGAAGUGCACCCGAAACUGAGUAGCUAGAGUACGAAAGAGGGUCGCGGAAUUCCAGGUGUAGCGGUGAAAUGCGUAGAUAUCUGGAGGAACACCGGUGGCGAAGGCGGCAUCCUGGACCAACACUGACACUGAAAAGCGAAAGCCAGGGGAGCAAACGGG